rnacentral:lncRNA from 1 species
GUCUGUGCUUGAAUCCUUUUCUACUAGCAUUUCCUCGGUGCCAGUCCGUCUGAUCUUUAUGUUUGCCGCCAGUGAGAGGCCAACUAAAGCCAAAGCUGUAAACCACAGUUGAAGUAAGUCUUUCAAUAAAGACUAGUCUAUGUAAGUGGCUUUCUCUUAGUGUUGUUCAUUGUGUAACCGUUGAGUCUGCGUGGAAUAAGCAGUUUGGCUCUAUCAGGGAGGAGUAAGACAUACCUAGAGUUUCAGGACUUAAAUUCUUUGCAUUAACUAAAAUUCAAGUUCUGAAUAUGGAGGGACAGGAAUUUGUACCCAUGGGGUCAGUAAGAUGACUCAGUGGGUAAAGGCGUUGGCUGCCACGCCUGGACUUGAGUCCUGUUCCCAGGAAACCAUGUGGUGGAAGUUGACUGACGCCUGACUUCAUGCACACUGUGGCUUAUGUACACACUCACACUUUGGCUCUUGGGUUUCGGGUUUUUUGUUGUUGUUUGUUUUGUUUUGUUUUGUUUUUUUGAGACAGGGUCUCUAUGCAGGUCUGGCUGUCCUGAAGCUCACUGUGUAGACCAGGCUGGCUACUCAAAUCUUCCAGCCUCUGCCUUCCGAGUACUGGAAUUAAAGUUGUACGUUACCACACCCAACCAUACAACUUUUAAAAAGAAAAUUUCAUCCUAAAAGUAUAGUAUAUUCUGUUAUACAGUAAAACGUAUUUUGAGUUCCAUAAACUUAUUUUUACCAUGUUUGGGGGGGAGGGUAAAUUUUUUGAUAUUAUCUUUGAUUAAAGAUUAUUGUUCAGAAACACAAAUGUUAGGGAGUAAAUACUAUUGUUCAAGGUAUUCCCAGAUUAAACUCACUUGUGUUGUGUAUAUUGCAAAGAUGGCAAAACUUGUAGCUUUUUCCAAUUUUUAAAAAAGCCUUCACUCUACUGGCUAUGGUGGUACACACCUGUAAUCUCAGUUCUCCAGCUGCUGGGCGGAAUGUCACGUUCUAGACCAACCCAAGCUACGUAGCAGAAACCUUGCCUUAAUCCCCUGCCCCAAGAAAAAUCCUUACAUCACUCAACGAGGCCUGUGUUUAAGAGCAUGCUCCCCAGUGCUUAGUAAAAUGGUACCCUAGUAAUUAUGUUCAUGAAGGUGAAGAUUGAUCACGUUGGGGGAGCAGGCUGAUCAGCAUGCAAGGGAUGGAACCCUGUACCAUGCUAGGCAAAUGCUCUACCAUGAAGCUAAAUUCUUAGGAGACCUCCCUUUGGUGAAGAGAACUUGAAGUAGGAUCCUGCCUUAGCCUCCCUAGUGCUGGGAUUAUGUGUAUGUGCCACCGCGCCACGCCACGCCACGCCACGCCACGCCACGCCACGCCACACAGUGUAGCCUUGCUAAUAAAGUUGGUUCCUUUUCUCUGUUG